rnacentral:rRNA from 1 species
CCUACGGGAGACAGCAGUGAGGAAUAUUGGUCAAUGGGCGGGAGCCUGAACCAGCCAAGUAGCGUGAAGGAUGACAGCCCUAUGGGUUGUAAACCUCUUUUAUCAGGGAAUAAAGUGCCCCACGUGUGGGGGUUUGAGUGUACCUGAUGAAAAAGCUUCGGCUAAUUCCGUGCCAGCAGCCGCGGUAAUACGGAAGAUGCGAGCGUUAUCCGGUUUUAUUGGGUUAAAAGGGUGCGUAGGCGGUUCCAUAAGUCAGCGGUAAAUCGUGCGGCUCAACCGUACCGUGCCGUUGAAACUGUGGGACUUGAGUAUGCGCAGGGUACGUGGAAUGCGUGGUGUAGCGGUGAAAUGCUUAGAUAUCACGAAGAACUCCGAUCGCGAAGGCAUUGUACCGGAGCAAGACUGACGCUGAGGCUCGAAAGUGCGGGUAUCAAACAGGAUUAGAUACCCUUGUAGUC